rnacentral:rRNA from 1 species
CGGGUGCACUGAUCCAGCCGGGCCUUUCCCUCUGUGGAACCCCAUGGCCUUCACUGGCUGUGGUGGGGAAACAGGACUUUUACUUUGAAAAAAUUAGAGUGCUCCAGGCAGGCCUAUGCUCGAAUACAUUAGCAUGGAAUAAUAGAAUAGGACGUGUGGUUCUAUUUUGUUGGUUUCUAGGACCGCCGUAAUGAUUAAUAGGGACAGUCGGGGGCAUCAGUAUUCAAUUGUCAGAGGUGAAAUUCUUGGAUCUAUUGAAGACUAACUACUGCGAAAGCAUUUGCCAAGGAUGUUUUCAUUGAUAAGGAACGAAAGUUAGGGGAUCGAAGACGAUCAGAUACCGUCGUAGUCUUAACUAUAAACUAUGCCGACUAGGGAUCGGACGAUGUUAUUCUUUGACGCGUUCGGCACCUUUCGAGAAAUCAAAGUGCUUGGGCUCCAGGGGGAGUAUGGUCGCAAGGCUGAAACUUAAAGAAAUUGACGGAAGGGCACCACCAGGGGUGGAACCUGCGGCUUAAUUUGACUCAACACGGGGAAACUCACCAGGUCCAGACACAGUGAGGAUUGACAGAUUGAGAGCUCCUUCUUGAUUCUGUGGGUGGUGGUGCAUGGCCGUUCUUAGUUGGUGGAGUGAUUUGUCUGCUUAAUUGCGAUAACGAACGAGACCUUAACCUGCUAAAUAGCCCGUACUGCUUUGGCAGUUCGCCGGCUUCUUAGAGGGACUAUCGG